UCUCGAUAGCGUAAAAGUUAACUUUAAUUUGUAUUGAGUCGGAACAUUUGCCUAGUUUGCCGCUAGGGGCGCUGUUCCAACUGCAUACAAAUUUGAGUUAACUUUUACGCUAUCGA
rnacentral:pre_miRNA from 9 species